rnacentral:rRNA from 1 species
ACAUGCUGAAAAUCCCGACUUCGGAAGGGAUGUAUUUAUUAGAUUAAAAACCAAUGCCCUCUGGGCUCUCUGGUGAUUCAUAAUAACUUCUCGAAUCGCAUGGCCUUGCGCCGGCGAUGGUUCAUUCAAAUUUCUUCCCUAUCAACUUUCGAUGUUUGGGUAGUGGCCAAACAUGGUUGCAACGGGUAACGGAGGGUUAGGGCUCGACCCCGGAGAAGGAGCCUGAGAAACGGCUACUACAUCCAAGGAAGGCAGCAGGCGCGCAAAUUACCCAAUCCCGAUUCGGGGAGGUAGUGACAAUAAAUACUGAUACAGGGCUCUUUUGGGUCUUGUAAUUGGAAUGAGUACAAUUUAAAUCCCUUAACGAGGAACAAUUGGAGGGCAAGUCUGGUGCCAGCAGCCGCGGUAAUUCCAGCUCCAAUAGCGUAUAUUAAAGUUGUUGUGGUUAAAAAGCUCGUAGUUGAACCUUGGGCCUGGCUGGCCGGUCCGCCUCACCGCGUGUACUGGUCCGGCCGGGUCUUUCCCUCUGUGGAACCCCAUGCCCUUCACUGGGUGUGGCGGGGAAACAGGACUUUUACUUUGAAAAAAUUAGAGUGCUCCAGGCAGGCCUAUGCUCGAAUACAUUAGCAUGGAAUAAUGAAAUAGGACGUGCGGUUCUAUUUUGUUGGUUUCUAGGACCGCCGUAAUGAUUAAUAGGGACAGUCGGGGGCAUCAGUAUUCAAUUGUCAGAGGUGAAAUUCUUGGAUUUAUUGAAGACUAACUACUGCGAAAGCAUUUGCCAAGGAUGUUUUCAUUAAUCAGGAACGAAAGUUAGGGGAUCGAAGACGAUCAGAUACCGUCGUAGUCUUAACCAUAAACUAUGCCGACUAGGGAUCGGACGAUGUUAUUUUUUGACUCGUUCGGCACCUUACGAGAAAUCAAAGUGC